rnacentral:tRNA from 1 species
CAAGAAAUAGUUUAAAUAAAACACUAGCUUUGGGUGCUUGAAAUCAAUCACCUGUUUCUUGACCA